AUCAUCCUUCUCAUCUCUCUUUCGGCUCUCUCUAUGCUACUCUCUCCCUCUCUGUAAAAUUUCACAGCUUCUCUACUCCCUCCGAUCAGCCACCGUGAUAGCUCCGAUCACUCCAUCGUAAAGCAUGUAGUACCCCCCAUCAAUCCAAGCUCUCAAUUCUCCCCAGUUUUUCUCAAUUUUGGAGCUUAGGUUGCAAACUCAUCUCCACUUAACUUUUCAAAUUAGUUGAAAUUAGAGGUGAACCGAGUGCAAGCACAAGCGAUAGGGGAAAGGGGCACAUCCCUGGUUGACAAGUAAUAGCGUUUUUGUUGACGUGUACAGAGUAUAGAAGCGAGUGAUCUCGCUCGUGGGCAGCUGCACGUGUCAAGUCACUA